UGAUAUUAUAAUUUUCAUUUCAGAUUAAAUAGCAUGACUGAAGAAAAUGAAUUACAAGAUGAAGUUAAUGCUAUUUAUAAUGACUUUCUUGAGGCGUCAGAUCUCAUUCCCACUCUUAAAAUAUUCAGCAAAUUAUGUGAAUGUCUUAGUAUAAAUGAAAAGAACUACAAAACAGUUUUUUCUUCAUUAAAAUUAAAACUUACCUCAAGGAAAUUCCAAACAUUGUCUAGUAUAUUAGAAAAAAAGGCUAAGCAUGUUGAUUACAAAAACAAACCAUGUUCUAAAUCAAAGAUUUUAAUUAUUGGUUCUGGACCUAUUGGAUUAAGAACUGCUAUUGAAGCUGCAUUGUUAGGUGCACAAGUUUUUGUUGUUGAAAGUAGGAACAGCUUUUCUAGAAAUAAUGUUCUUCAUUUGUGGCCAUUCCUAAUUACUGAUUUAAAAGCACUUGGUAUCAAAUCCUUUUUUGGAAAAUUUUGUGCUGGAACUCUUGAUCAUAUAAGUAUUCGAAGAUUGCAAUGUAUACUUUUGAAGAUAUGUUUAGUACUUGGGAUUCAAGUUUAUGCAGAAACAAUUUUUUAUGAUAUUCUUCAACCAAGUGAUGGUAAAGCUUGGAGAUGUAAGUUUAAACCUACUUCUUCAUAUUUAAAUGGGAUUGAAUUUGAUGUUGUUGUUGGUUGUGAUGGAAAAUCAAAUAGUUUAAAAUUCAAAAGAAAAGAAUUUCGUGGCAAAUUAGCAAUUGCUAUUACUUGCAAUUUUGUUAACACAUAUACUAAAGCUGAAGCAGGUGUUGAAGAAAUAAGUGGUGUAGCCUACAUAUAUAAUCAAGAUUUCUUUCAUCAGUUAAAAGAAAAUACUGGCAUUGAAUUGGAAAACAUUGUAUAUUAUAAAGAUGAAACUCAUUACUUUGUUAUGACAGCAAAAAAAAAAAGUUUGUUGGAUAAGGGUGUAAUUUUACAGGAUUAUAAAGAUGUUUUUCAACUAUUAUCACAAGAAAAUGUUUGUCAUGAAGCAUUGUUGCAAUAUGCAAAGGAAGCAGCAGAUUUUUCUACUAAGUACCAGCUUCCACAUCACAAUUUUGCAAAAAAUCAUUCUGGAAAAGAAGAUGUUGCUAUGUUUGAUUUCACUUCAAUUCACCAAGCAGAAUAUUCUUCAAGAAUAGUUGAAAGAAAAGGAAAGCGUUUACUACUUUGUAUUGCUGGAGAUGUUUUACUAGAGCCAUUCUGGCCUACAGGUUCUGGAUGUGCACGUGGUUUUCUUGGUGCUAUGGAUGUUGCAUGGAUGAUUAAAGGAUUUAGCUCUGGACAUGACUCAAUGGAUUUAAUUCAAGAACGUGAGAGUAUUUUUAAUAUACUUUCACAAACAAAACCAGACACAUUAAUGAAACCUUAUGAAAAAUACUCUAUUGAUCCAUUUACAAGAUAUCCAAAUUUAAAUACUCGAUUAUUCAAAAAAGAACAGAUUGGACAUUUAAUAGAUAAAAGUGAUGGCAACUUUAGUUUAGAAACAUUACAUAAAAACGAAGAAAAUAAAGCAUCCAAGAUAAAUGAAGCAAAACAAAGUGGAGUUGAUCCAGAUACAUUGUUAGCAUGGUGUAAAGAACAAACACAUGGCUAUCCUAAUAUAAGCAUGACAGAUAUGAGUGAGUCAUGGAAGAAUGGUUUGGCUUUUUGUGCUAUUGUAAACCGUUACCGCCCUGACCUUUUAGAUUAUUCCGCAUUAAAUUUUAAAGAAGUUGAAGAAAAUUGUGCAAAGGCAUUUGCAAUAGCUGAAGAAUAUUUUGGUAUCCCUCCAAAAAUCUCUGGUCAUGAUUUAGUUAGACAAGCUGUUCCUGAUAAACUGGCUAUUAUAGCUUAUGUAUCACUUUACUAUGAAGCUCUUAAAGGAGAAUCUCCUGCUUCUUCUAAGCAACCUAAUGAUGAAAAAGUGAAAGAAAAAAGUUAUCGAAGUGUUCCUGGAAAAAAUAAAAUGUCAAUUAUCUCACGGCUAUCUAAGAAAAAUAAUGCAAAAAAUUCAAAGAAAAGUAAAGAUAAAGAUCUAUGUCUGAAUUUAGACAAAGGUGAGGCUGCAUUAUUAGCCUACAAAAAAAAAGAAUCAGAUAACAAUGCAAUAGUUGGUAUUCGAAAAGAAGUUGCAGGCAAUAAUGAAAUGCACAAUUUUUCUGAUGAUAUAACACCUACCCAAGGUGAUGGUAAAUACAAGAGAAUAUCUCAGCUGGCACAAACAGUAUUUGGGGAUACUAUAGUUCAAGACAGUUGUGUUUCAAAAGAUAAGACUGAUAAUGUAAUCAUAGAAAAAGAUUCUGAUGAGCUCAGUGAAAGCGAAAAAUGUUACUUUUGCAAACAAAAAGUGUAUGUCAUGGAGCGACAAUCAUGUGAAGGACUUUUUUUUCAUCGUAAAUGUUUUCGUUGUUGUGUUUGCAGGUGCCAUCUUUUACUUGGAAAUUAUAUUUUUGAUUGUAAGGAAGAUAAUGUCGGAAAGUUUUAUUGCAAACUUCAUUACAACAAAAUAAUCUAUGAGUUGGAGAAAGUUGUCAAGCCUCCAGCAAAAAGUGAACGGCGUAAUCGUCCUCUUACACAAAUAAUUGAACCUUUCAAUUCAAAAAAUCUUCCGUACAGUGAAACCAAAUCAAAUAGCAUUAUAGAUAUUCAAACCAAGUUAAAAGAGAAUUUACCUCUGAUAACUGUCAAAGACAGAAAUGCUAUUAAAGGCAAAAGUAAUGUUGAAGUAAAAAAUGAUUCAUUUAUUGAUGGUGUAACUUCUAAUACUUUAUCAACUCCUAAGGCACCAAUCAUUACUAAGAUAAAAUCUUCAUCUAUAAAUCCAACUUCAUCGAUAAUUUUGAAUUCACCUAAAAUUACAUCUCCAAAUAAACCACUAUCCUCAAUUUUAUCUACUCCCUACGAUAUGCUUGCUGCUAAAAAUUUAGAUGUAAACAGUUCAACAACUCCGCGGAAAGUAAUCACUAGUAGUUAUUUUACAGCAAAAAAGUUGAGUGUUUCUACGCCUAACUUGACGAAGCUAAUACAAGAAGAUGGAAUGUUUGAAGAAGAAAGAAAAAAACACUUGCUUUUGCAAAAAGUACCCCAAAAUAGUUCUGAAUUAUUAGAAGUGCAAAAUUUAAAUAAAAAAAAUGUAUUAAAUAAUAGCAAAAGUUUUUCUGAGAAAAAUAUUGAAAUUGAUUUUGAAAGAGAAAGGUAUCAGAGUUUUAAAUUUAAAGAAAAUGUGAUUGGUGCAGUCCAUAGACGACCAAUGCAAGAGAGAAGAGCUCAGUAUCCUGUUUCAAUGGCUUUUAAUGAUAGUGUUGUUAAUUUGCAUCAGAUAGCUGUGGAUAUUUCAUUAGAUGAUGAAAAAGAUUUCACAAAGAAAGAAUCUGAAGAGAAAAUUACCACUACAGAUCAAGUUAAGAAGAAAAAGAAGCUUGUUCUAAGAAGGAAAAAAAAAAUCUUUGUUGAUGCUGGUUCAUCAACAACUGCUCAAACAUCAGAAAAUAUCCUUUUAAAAGGUUCUUCUGAAGUAAUAAUAAAUGAACCUUCAAAGAUGGAAGAAAUAAAGGAAGCAAGUGGAGUCUCUGAAAAUGAUUCAGACACUGAUUCAAUUUAUGAUGAAGAGAAAAAGGACACAACUUAUCAUGGAGUAUUUAAAAUUUUUGCAAAAAAGUCAAAGAUAGAAAAAAGAUUUAACUGCAGAAGAAGAAGAACUUGUUUCCAAAAAGUAUUAUUUGCGGCAACAACACGAAAUUAAAAAGGAAAUGAAAGAGCGUGAGAUGAAACGUCUGUGGGAAGCGCAAUCUAUCCAACGUAAACUAAAUGAAGUUGAUGUGAAGCAAUUUGAGCUUGAAGAGCGCGCUAGAAAAGUAGAAAAAGAUCUCAGAAAUGAAUCAUUAUCAAAAGAUGCUAUUCGCAAACUUACACUUGAGUGGUGCUUGCUGGUAAA
rnacentral:misc_RNA from 1 species